AAAAUAAGAGUAAUAUUAAUCUCAUUAAUCAUAUACUAUGGCAAAAAACAUGAUUGCUUCCUUUGUUUUAGUUUUCAUUAUUGCUGUGGGAAUUAUGAGUGUUGUUAAGGGUGAAGAAGAAGUUAACCAACUGCUAAAUCCGUUAUGUAGGCAUCUGUAUAGGUUGUGUUAUGUUUUGAAUCUUACAAACUUUUGUGAUAUUUACCAAAGGUUUUGUGCUAGCCAACCAACUCCUUCUCAAACCCUUCCAUGAUCAGAGAUUGUGACCAAGCAUGCGUGGUUUGCGAGUAAAAGUAUGUAUAUUAUGAUAUCAAGACAUUAAUCUUUUUCUCCUCACUAAGACGAACGACUCAGUCGAUAAUUAUCCAAGAAUAUCGAAUACAAUAAUAUAAAUUUAAACCUGCAACAUUAUAUUAAAAGAUGAUAUUCUGAACAUUAAUCUAUUUAAAAAAAGUCGAGAUAUAUAUUUUAUAUAUUUUUGUCAUGUUAUAUGGUUGUAUUUAUAUAUGAAAAUUGAAAUAAAGUUGUCAUGCAUGUGAGUUAAUUACUCGUGUC
rnacentral:lncRNA from 1 species